UACACACGUGCUACAAUGGCGCAUACAAAGAGAAGCGACCUCGCGAGAGCAAGCGGACCUCAUAAAGUGCGUCGUAGUCCGGAUUGGAGUCUGCAACUCGACUCCAUGAAGUCGGAAUCGCUAGUAAUCGUGGAUCAGAAUGCCACGGUGAAUACGUUCCCGGGCCUUGUACACACCGCCCGUCACACCAUGGGAGUGGGUUGCAAAAGAAGUAGGUAGCUUAACCUUCGGGAGGGCGCUUACCACUU
rnacentral:rRNA from 1 species